GACGGAGGAUGCAAGCGUUAUCCGGAAUGAUUGGGCGUAAAGCGUCCGCAGGUGGCAGUUCAAGUCUGCUGUCAAAGACCGGGGCUUAACUUCGGAAAGGCAGUGGAAACUGAACAGCUAGAGUAUGGUAGGGGCAGAGGGAAUUCCUGGUGUAGCGGUGAAAUGCGUGGAUAUCAGGAAGAACAUCGGUGGCGAAGGCGCUCUGCUGGACCAUAACUGACACUCAGGGACGAAAGCUAGGGGAGCGAAUGGG
rnacentral:rRNA from 1 species